rnacentral:lncRNA from 1 species
GCAACAAUCCUCACGUUAAGCAAUAUAUAAAUACAAUAAAUGGAAUUUAUUACUAUCAAAUAUUUUCCAUUGACCAUUCUCAUCAAGUUACAAGCUUAACCCGUGAAAAAAUUGGGAACAUCUGUUAGCUUUCCCCUACUAACGUUGGGAGAUAAUUCUGUCGACAGAGAAAAAUGUUAUGGUUUGCUUUUGAUCCAUGCUUCUCGUUCAAAGGCUCACUGUUGCUUUCGUACCGCAGACAUUACCCAAGACACAAGUUGCAUUGGUCCUGCUCCCUCUGCUGAAGAAGGCCAAACUCCAAGCACCACAGCAGAAAACAACACCUCUCCUGGGAGAAUUGAGGAGAGCCCAUUUAUCGUAAAACAGGUCAGCAAAUCAUCAUAAGGCCCGUGAUGUAGCAACCCUGCACAAGGUAUGUGACAUGAGAACGAUGGCAAUGAAUGAUGGAGCCAAACAUUGAUGAAAAGAAAUCCACCAAAAGGAAGAGGAAACUAAUUAUGACAAAUCAAACGCACCCUCCCUGCAUCUAUGGCAUGGUAUACUAUUAAUUGCAAAAACAAUUGAAAAUAGGGGACAAAAUCUAGCCCAUCAAAACAGAUUGAUUUACUAAUCACUUUCAAUCAUGCAGCCGAGCCUCAGAAACUGUGCAUCUUGUUCCUCAAGACAGUGACAUGCUUUUAGUUUGAACCAAAACCACGUCACUUAUUUUGGAGUGAAAUAGCAUAAAACUACCACUUUUCGCGUUAGGGUACCGAAAAACUACCAAAAAUUUGUUUGAGACUGAUACCUACCAGAAUCGGUGUCGGCUGUUUCAAAAAUCCCAAAUCGCCGAGUGCUUAUCAAUUGAACAUGAUUAUGACAGUUGGG